UGAUAAAUAAUAAACGACCUUUGAGUGGCUCCAAUUUAUGAGUGGCUGGGAGCGGGGGCCGGAUAAUGGACUAAUUAGUUGUAUCUCACAUUAACUGAUAUCGGACACUCGGCUCCUCAAUGCUAACUUUAUGUCUGGGUUCUGCCCCGGGGGCCCGGCAGGGACACCCAAAAUGGUGGAGGAGGGUAAAUGGGGUAAUUUUCUGCUCCUGGGGUGGGGGUGGGGGGUAUUUGGGAAAAGGACCGCCAGCUACUAACAGGUAUUUCUGUGUAUCAAAGCUUCCAGGAUCCCCGACGGAAACAAAGUGGAGGGUUUGAGAGCGGCGAGGCGGAGGAGGAACGGGGCGAACAGCGGAACUUCCAUGAAAUUGCCAGAACAAGCUGUAAGGCCUCCCACUAUCAGAUUCGCACCUGAAGGGUCCAGAAGCUUUUCCAGCAAUCAGGAAGCAGCGUUAAACUGUGACCCAACAACCAUUAUCACUGCAGGCCUCGACUGUUGGGGCUUAAACACAUUCAACUGCCGGAAAACUGGAAAAUAUGAAGCAAAAGACAGAAAGAACCGACAUCAGCUGUUUACAAAAGGAAGAAAGAACUUGGAUGAGUCUGUCGUUGGGUUUUGUCUCCACACUGGACAGAAAAUGUUGCACAGAUGUCACCAGAGAUGUGUUUGGUGUCGACUCCGAGGAUAACAACUCCAUGGGCAUUAUCUGUGUUUUAUCAACACACUGUGCUGAUUUCGAAGGAUCUCUUAAAAAAAAAAAAAGUGAAACAAUACGACAGAAUU